rnacentral:rRNA from 1 species
UCCGAACGCUGGCGGCAUGCCUAAUACAUGCAAGUCGAGCGAACAGAUGAAGUGCUUGCACUUCUGACGUUAGCGGCGAACGGGUGAGUAACACGUAAGGAAUCUACCUAUAAGCGGGGGAUAACAUUCGGAAACGGGUGCUAAUACCGCAUAAUAUCUUCAUCCGCAUGGAAGAAGAUUGAAAGACGGCUCUGCUGUCACUUAUAGAUGACCUUGCGGUGCAUUAGUUAGUUGGUGGGGUAACGGCCUACCAAGACGAUGAUGCAUAGCCGACCUGAGAGGGUGAUCGGCCACAUUGGGACUGAGACACGGCCCAAACUCCUACGGGAGGCAGCAGUAGGGAAUCUUCCGCAAUGGGCGAAAGCCUGACGGAGCAAUGCCGCGUGAGUGAAGAAGGCCUUCGGGUCGUAAAACUCUGUUAUAAGAGAAGAACAAAUUGUAGAGUAACUGCUACAGUCUUGACGGUAUCUUAUCAGAAAGCCACGGCUAACUACGUGCCAGCCGCCGCGGUAA